ACGAACGCUGGCGGCGUGCCUAAUACAUGCAAGUAGAACGCACAGUUUAUACCGUAGCUUGCUACACCAUAGACUGUGAGUUGCGAACGGGUGAGUAACGCGUAGGUAACCUGCCUGGUAGCGGGGGAUAACUAUUGGAAACGAUAGCUAAUACCGCAUAAUAUUGAUUAUUGCAUGAUAAUUAAUUGAAAGGUGCAAUUGCACCACUACCAGAUGGACCUGCGUUGUAUUAGCUAGUAGGUGAGGUAACGGCUCACCUAGGCGACGAUACAUAGCCGACCUGAGAGGGUGAUCGGCCACACUGGGACUGAGACACGGCCCAGACUCCUACGGGAGGCAGCAGUAGGGAAUCUUCGGCAAUGGACGAAAGUCUGACCGAGCAACGCCGCGUGAGUGAAGAAGGUUUUCGGAUCGUAAAGCUCUGUUGUAAGAGAAGAACGGGUGUGAGAGUGGAAAGUUCACACUGUGACGGUAUCUUACCAGAAAGGGACGGCUAACUACGUG
rnacentral:rRNA from 1 species